GAUGAAGAACGUAGCGAAAUGCGAUACGUAAUGUGAAUUGCAGAAUUCAGUGAAUCAUCGAAUCUUUGAACGCAUAUUGCGCUCUUUGGUAUUCCGAAGAGCAUGCUUGUUUGAGUAUCAGUAAACACCUCAACCUCUUCUUGAUUUUUCAAAAGGAGGGUGGACUUGAGCUAUCCCAACAACCUUUACCGGUCGGCUGGCGGCUUGAAAUGCAGGUGCAGCUGGACUUUCUUCUGAGCUAUAAGCAUAUUUAUUUAAUCCCUUAACACGGAUUAUUACUUUUUUGCUGCAGCUAACAUAAAGGUUGAAUUUCCAUUGAGCUGACUGAUGCAGGAAUUUGGCAAGGAAUUUUUUUAAUGACUUGUUAAACUCGAUCUCAAAUCAAGUAAGACUACCCGCUGAACUUAAGCAUAUCAAUAAGCGGAGGA
rnacentral:misc_RNA from 1 species